rnacentral:rRNA from 1 species
AGUGAACGCUGGCGGUAGGCCUAACACAUGCAAGUCGAACGGCAGCACAGUAAGAGCUUGCUCUUACGGGUGGCGAGUGGCGGACGGGUGAGGAAUACAUCGAAAUCUACUUUUUCGUGGGGGAUAACGUAGGGAAACUUACGCUAAUACCGCAUACGACCUACGGGUGAAAGCAGGGGAUCUUCGGACCUUGCGCGAUUGAAUGAGCCGAUGUCGGAUUAGCUAGUUGGCGGGGUAAAGGCCCACCAAGGCGACGAUCCGUAGCUGGUCUGAGAGGAUGAUCAGCCACACUGGAACUGAGACACGGUCCGGACUCCUACGGGAGGCAGCAGUGGGGAAUAUUGGACAAUGGGCGCAAGCCUGCUCCAGCCAUACCGCGUGGGUGAAGAAGGCCUUCGGGUUGUAAAGCCCUUUUGUUGGGAAAGAAAGGCAGCAGGUUAAUACCCCGCUGUUCUGACGGUACCCAAAGAAUAAGCACCGGCUAACUUCGU